rnacentral:rRNA from 1 species
AUUGAAGCCCGAGUAAACGGCGGCCGUAACUAUAACGGUCCUAAGGUAGCGAAAUUCCUUGUCGGUUAAAUACCGACCUGCAUGAAUGGCGUAACGAGAUGGGAGCUGUCUCAACCAGAGAUUCAGUGAAAUUGUAGUGGAGGUGAAAAUUCCUCCUACCCGCGGCAAGACGGGAAGACCC